UUUGCUUGCUAUUUAGAUGC
rnacentral:siRNA from 1 species